UUGGAUUGAAGGGAGCUC
rnacentral:siRNA from 1 species